rnacentral:misc_RNA from 1 species
CCCACGUUUCUUUACACCCUUAUCCUCAUUCUGUUCUGCCUUCUCUUCUUUCUCCUGAGACCCAUCAACCUUCUCCUCCACCUCUUCUUUGUUUUCCUCAUUUUCUUCAACUUCUGCAUCAUCUUUUGAUCCAGUUUCUUCUUCCACUGGUUCAUUUUUUUCUUCCUUUACUUCAGUUUCGGGUUCAUCCUUUUCUUUUUCUUCUUUGCUUUCCUUCUCUUCAUUCACCUUGGGGUCUUCAUCCAUCUUCUCAGUCUCAGCUUCCACAUUAUCAACUUUAUCUUCAUCCAUUGCUUUCAAUACACUACUUUCCUCUUCUUUUUUCUGUGUCACAACUUUACCUGAUUUCUCUGGUGCACUAGUUCCAUUUUCAACUACAUCAGGAACUUCAGUCACCGAUUCUUCCUUGCCCAUUUGCAAAACAGUCUAACGCAAAAG